AAGGAUUGUUGGAUGACCGUUCUCUUUUUAAUUUCUUGAGGAACCUCCUUUACUGUUUUCUAUGGUGGCUGCAUUAAUUUACAUUCCCACCAACAGGGCACAGAGUUCCCUUUUCUCCACAUC